rnacentral:rRNA from 1 species
UAAUACGUAGGGGGCAAGCGUUGUCCGGAUUCAUUGGGCGUAAAGAGCGUGUAGGCGGCCAGGUAGGUCGGUUGUGAAAACUGGAGGCUCAACCUUCAGAGGUCGACCGAAACCAUCUGGCUAGAGUCCGGGAGAGGAGAGUGGAAUUCCUGGUGUAGCGGUGAAAUGCGCAGAUAUCAGGAAGAACACCCGUGGCGAAAGCGGCUCUC